GAGGGCGCUUGUAAUUAAUUUUUUUCUGAUUUUUUAGAUUAGUCCACCUCUGGAUCUGGCGAUCCGCGUUAAGGUGACGCACAGCAGAAUGCGCGGUGGCUCCAGUUGAGCGGCAAAUUCAAAUAUAGCUGAAAAACAUGUAGAAGACGGUUCCUAGGAGACUCCAUGUUUACUAUUGCUCCGAAGGUUGUGUGUUAUCGAAGGCAUUUUCAAUGGCAGAUGUUAGGGACAGUUCAUAGGACGGCACUCCUCUGGCUACUGGUGGAGGAUUUAUACUAUUCUCAAGAGGAACGUUUCCGCAAUUCAUUUUCGACUAUAUGUACUAUUGAAAACUUCCAUAUUAGGAGAAAAUAAUGAAGGAGAAGUUAUCUCUUCUGCUCCUAAUAAAUAAAGUAUUAAUUGGAAAACACAA